rnacentral:rRNA from 1 species
ACGUAGGGGGCGAGCGUUAUCCGGAUUCAUUGGGCGUAAAGCGCGCGUAGGCGGCCCGGCAGGCCGGGGGUCGAAGCGGGGGGCUCAACCCCCCGAAGCCCCCGGAACCUCCGCGGCUUGGGUCCGGUAGGGGAGGGUGGAACACCCGGUGUAGCGGUGGAAUGCGCAGAUAUCGGGUGGAACACCGGUGGCGAAGGCGGCCCUCUGGGCCCAGACCGACGCUGAGGCGCGAAAGCUGGGGGCGCGAACAG